rnacentral:tRNA from 1 species
GACACGCGGUAGCUCAGUUGGAAGAGCAUUGACCCGGAAUGCCAAAGGUCAUGGGUUCAAGCCUCGGCUGCGUCA